rnacentral:rRNA from 1 species
UACGAAGGGGGCUAGCGUUGCUCGGAAUCACUGGGCGUAAAGCGCACGUAGGCAGAUUGCUAAGUCAGGGGUGAAAUCCUGGAGCUCAACUCCAGAACUGCCUUUGAUACUGGCGAUCUUGAGUCCGGGAGAGGUGAGUGGAACUGCGAGUGUAGAGGUGAAAUUCGUAGAUAUUCGCAAGAACACCAGUGGCGAAGGCGGCUCACUGGCCCGGUACUGACGCUGAGGUGCGAAAGCGUGGGGAUCAAACAGG